GGGCAACAGAGUGAGACUCUGUCUCAAAAAAAAAGAGAAAUGAAUGAGUAGACUAAACAGAAGGCAGGGUGAAGUCACUCUGGUGGAGUUUUGUGACAUAGUCACAAGAGGACACGUGUGGAUUCCACACGACGGGGCCACGGGGGAGGGAAGGUGGCAGGAGAUGCGCCCCGAGUGCCCGCUGGUCACCCUAGCAAGUCCGGCUCUGUUCUGGAGUCAGGGCCAGCAGCGGGCCUCGGGCACACCGCUCUGGGAGAAUGUCAGGAGGGUCACAGGUGCCCCGGCCAACUUGUGUCUUAAAGAGAUCUACAAGACCAGGUUGAGCACUAGGAAGAGCCGUCACUGUCCUGGACCGCCCGGAGGUCGUCAGAUAAAGGGGAGGGGACUUCUCCAUGUGGCGGCGAGUACAGAACUAGUGGGUCCAGACAGAAAUCAUAAAGCGACAGAUUCCAGUACCCAACGGGGCAAAGUCUACACCUGCUGUGCAAGGUUCUUCCUGUCUGUGCUGGUGGGGGAAGCGUGUGGGAAGAGGAGAAGAGUGGAGAGCAAGGGAACGUGCUUCUGUCUCGUCAAGCUUAGUUUCCUCUUACGUGGACAACAUUGAUUGUGUGGUUUUUUUGUUUUCUUGGUUUUUUUUUAAUUAAAAAAAACCUGGUUAAAUGUCUAG